GAGGGUGCAAGCGUUGUUCGGAAUUAUUGGGCGUAAAGGGCGCGUAGGCGGUUCGGCAAGUCUCUAGUGAAAUCUCUGGGCUCAACUCAGAGUCUGCUGGGGAAACUGCCGGGCUUGAGUGUGGGAGAGGAGAGUGGAAUUCCCGGUGUAGCAGUGAAAUGCGUAGAUAUCGGGAGGAACACCUGUGGCGAAAGCGGCUCUCUGGACCACAACUGACGCUGAGGCGCGAAAGCUAGGGGAGCAAACAGGAUUAGAUACCCUGGUAGUCCUAGCCCUAAACGAUGAUUGCUUGGUGUGGUGGGUACCCAAUCCCACUGUGCCGAAGCUAACGCGAUAAGCAAUCCGCCUGGGGAGUACGGUCGCAAGGCUG
rnacentral:rRNA from 1 species